rnacentral:rRNA from 1 species
GCCUGUAAUCAUACCAUCUUGGACUGAUCUCAGCUAAGCAGGGUCAGGCCCAGUCAGUACUUGUAUGAAAGGAACAGCUAAGUAUUGCAGAAA